GACGAACGCUGGCGGCGUGCCUAAUACAUGCAAGUCGAACGAACUCUGGUAUUGAUUGGUGCUUGCAUCAUGAUUUACAUUUGAGUGAGUGGCGAACUGGUGAGUAACACGUGGGAAACCUGCCCAGAAGCGGGGGAUAACACCUGGAAACAGAUGCUAAUACCGCAUAACAACUUGGACCGCAUGGUCCGAGUUUGAAAGAUGGCUUCGGCUAUCACUUUUGGAUGGUCCCGCGGCGUAUUAGCUAGAUGGUGGGGUAACGGCUCACCAUGGCAAUGAUACGUAGCCGACCUGAGAGGGUAAUCGGCCACAUUGGGACUGAGACACGGCCCAAACUCCUACGGGAGGCAGCAGUAGGGAAUCUUCCACAAUGGACGAAAGUCUGAUGGAGCAACGCCGCGUGAGUGAAGAAGGGUUUCGGCUCGUAAAACUCUGUUGUUAAAGAAGAACAUAUCUGAGAGUAACUGUUCAGGUAUUGACGGUAUUUAACCAGAAAGCCACGGCUAACUACGUGCCAGCAGCCGCGGUAAUACGUAGGUGGCAAGCGUUGUCCGGAUUUAUUGGGCGUAAAGCGAGCGCAGGCGGUUUCUUAAGUCUGAUGUGAAAGCCUUCGGCUCAACCGAAGAAGUGCAUCGGAAACUGGGAAACUUGAGUGCAGAAGAGGACAGUGGAACUCCAUGUGUAGCGGUGAAAUGCGUAGAUAUAUGGAAGAACACCAGUGGCGAAGGCGGCUGUCUGGUCUGUAACUGACGCUGAGGCUCGAAAGUAUGGGUAGCAAACAGGAUUAGAUACCCUGGUAGUCCAUACCGUAAACGAUGAAUGCUAAGUGUUGGAGGGUUUCCGCCCUUCAGUGCUGCAGCUAACGCAUUAAGCAUUCCGCCUGGGGAGUACGGCCGCAAGGCUGAAACUCAAAGGAAUUGACGGGGGCCCCCACAAGCGGUGGAGCAUGUGGUUUAAUUCGAAGCUACGCGAAGAACCUUACCAGGUCUUGACAUACUAUGCAAAUCUAAGAGAUUAGACGUUCCCUUCGGGGACAUGGAUACAGGUGGUGCAUGGUUGUCGUCAGCUCGUGUCGUGAGAUGUUGGGUUAAGUCCCGCAACGAGCGCAACCCUUAUUAUCAGUUGCCAGCAUUAAGUUGGGCACUCUGGUGAGACUGCCGGUGACAAACCGGAGGAAGGUGGGGAUGACGUCAAAUCAUCAUGCCCCUUAUGACCUGGGCUACACACGUGCUACAAUGGAUGGUACAACGAGUUGCGAACUCGCGGGAGCAAGCUAAUCUCUUAAAGCCAUUCUCAGUUCGGAUUGUAGGCUGCAACUCGCCUACAUGAAGUCGGAAUCGCUAGUAAUCGCGGAUCAGCAUGCCGCGGUGAAUACGUUCCCGGGCCUUGUACACACCGCCCGUCACACCAUGAGAGUUUGUAACACCCAAAGUCGGUGGGGUAACCUUUUAGGAACCAGCCGCCUAAGGUGGGACAGAUGAUUAGGGUG
rnacentral:rRNA from 2 species